GAUGGAUAAACUAUGCAUUUGAUUUGUGGCUAAGCUAUAUCCUAACCUGUUGAUAUGAUUUCAUUGGUAACAUUUACUUUUCUGUGGUUUGUUUUGGUUAUCACUUCUGGAGCUGGUUGGUGAUCUUCCGUUGUCAACUUCCAUGCAAGCUUUUGCCUUCUGUAAGUGAGGCAGUUUGGUUCAACUUUUACUUUUGUUUGUAGGUAAGAUGUUGAUGCUUCGGAUUUCAGGUUGCUUGUGCUGUAUUACCAACACGGAUAAUGGUUGUGUUUUGAUUUUUUUACACUGACAAAUUGCUAUUAUUUUCUAGUUCUUUUCACGGUUUCCAACUUAGGUAUUAAAUAUGUUAAUUUGUUGAUUUGGGUGGCUACCAAGUCUCGUGAAUCUUUUGCUGACCUUUUCUAUCCCUUGCUGGAGUCUAACCCACUGGUACAGGAUCUGCCUUCUGCUUAUGCAUACUUGGUAUUCUAGCAGACUACGCUAGUAAAAUUUUGUAGCUUUUCUAGUAUUGAGUUUCAUCAACUCCUUGUGACACAACUUGAUUUUACUUCUGGAAUGUUUUACAUAAUUGUGACAAAGGAAAGAUUUUGUUGCUCUUUAUGAUGGGUAGGUUGGUAAUGCGGGUUACUUUUAGCAUAAGGCUACUGUCAGUGUAAUGACUUUCUAUAGCUUUUUGAUGUUUCUUUUUUUCUUACCCUUUUUUUUUUAAUGUUUUCUGGAAGCUUCCGUCUUCGAUCCCAUUGGCAUAUGAUCCAAGUACUUCUAACAUUAUGUAUUUGCCAAUGUAAAAAAUAGCUAAUAUCUACUAACAUAUUAUCAAGGUUCAACAGGAAAUUCUUCUUUUCUCUUCUUUCUUGACCUUUUGAAUUUAUUUAUUUAGAGGUAGCCGGGCAGACAAGGUUCAUUCAUCAUGAGAUCUUGGUAUAGGUAGAUGUACAUUUAAUCAUGACACUGAGCUCACUGGCGAGCAGUCUUAUUUCAUGUGUUGCUGCCCGUUUAUUCCACAUAAUGGAUAACACCAACAGGGAAAGAAUCUCUUUGAACCUGUUCAUGUCGUAUGGAGCAUAACAAAUUUUCAUUGUUCCGUGCUUUUUUUAUUUUUGUGAACUCUGAUUUAUGAUUUUGACUGUUUGAACUGCCCGGGAGUGAGGGGAGUGUUUCAUUCUUUGUUGAACUGUUUGAACUGUUUCAUCUCUAUGAAGUUUUGAGGCCUUUUUGCAGGUAGUUCAAGUGAAGUAUAUAUCGUGGUUCUAGUGUUGAAUUUAUGGCCUGUCUUAUUGACAUCCACCCUAUAAAUCUUGGGGGUUUAUGCUUUAGGGCUGUAGCUGCCGCUAUGGUUCCUAGAUAGAUGCUGGUCAGAAAAGCCUAUAGGUACCAAUGUAAUUUUGGGUUUACAACUGACUGGAAGGUCUAGGGUGUUGGUCUUGAAGUUUUUUACGUUGGACACAGUUUCAUACCGAAAAUGGCCCCAUGUGAUUUCUAUUUUAACCCAUUAUUAGAUCACUCCUAUUUUAACCUUAUUUGGUUCAGCUGUUUGCCAAAACAUGCCCCACAUAUGUUUGUUUUCCUUGGUUUGACCGCACCAUUCUGAAUUGACAGUUGCAAACUCUGAAUUUUAGGAUUGUUCAGAGAAUGUUUUUCCUGAAGUGUAUUAUUAGUUGAUCAACAGAAAAUGUGAAAUAGCAAUGCUAGGUUAUUUCCUGGACUUUUUUAUUUUUAUAGGUGUCUUAGGAUGAUUCUUCCGCUGAUGAUCUUGUGUGUGUGUGUAUUUCUUUAUUUUGUAACGCUUACGAAGUGUUGCUUACGCAUUGUGGUGGCAAUUUCACAUGCAACUUGAAGUUUUGCUAACUGCUCACAGUUGAUUGAUCUCUUGAAGCUCAGGGGUGGUACAUGAGAAACAAAUAUGUGCUCCCAAAAGUUUGAUUCUGGGAAAGAUUGCCGGUCUUUUUCUGAAGGCGAACUCCAUUUGCGCAAUGCUAAGCUAUUCUUAGUUUAAUGUCAAACAGUUAAAUGAGGGAUUCUAGCUUUGAUUUUGUACUGUUGUGUGAAAGGUGUUGGAAAUGCAAAUGUAAAUUUGCCAAAUACAUAUUGCCAGGAACACCACUGGAUCUGGAAAGAACUGGAGGCGGUUUGGGAA